rnacentral:rRNA from 1 species
GACGAACGCUGGCGGCGUGCCUAACACAUGCAAGUCGAGCGAUGAAAUUAGAAACGGAGUCUUCGGACGAAGAGGAAAAUGGAUUAGCGGCGGACGGGUGAGUAACACGUGAGCAACCUGCCUAUCACAUCGGGAUAGCCUCGGGAAACUGGGAUUAAUACCGAAUGAAACAUAAUCACUGCCUAGUGGAAAUGUCAAAGAUUUAUCGGUGAUAGAUGGGCUCGCGUCUGAUUAGCUAGUUGGUGAGGUAAUGGCUCACCAAGGCGACGAUCAGUAGCCGGCCUGAGAGGGUGAACGGCCACAUUGGGACUGAGACACGGCCCAAACUCCUACGGGAGGCAGCAGUGGGGAAUAUUGCACAAUGGAGGGAACUCUGAUGCAGCGACGCCGCGUGAGCGAUGAAGGCUUUCGAGUCGUAAAGCUCUGUCGAAUGGGAAGAUAAUGACGGUACCAUUUGAGAAAGCCCCGACUAACUACGUGCCAGCCGCCGCCGUAACAC